UUCGCAAUGCCCGAAAGGGUGACGAAGCGACGCCGCGUGCGGGAAGAAGGCCUUCGGGUUGUAAACCGCUGUCGGGAGUUAAGAAAUGUAAGGAUGUUAAUAGCAUCUUUGCUUGACUAAGGCUCCGGAGGAAGCCACGGCUAACUCUGUGCCCGCAGCCGCGGUAAUACAGAGGCGGCAAGCGUUGUUCGGAAUUAUUGGGCGUAAAGAGCACGUAGGCGGCUAUGUAAGUCGGUUGUGAAAGCCUUCCGCUCAACGGGAGAACAGCAUCCGAUACUGCAUGGCUUGAGUGCGGGAGGGGAGAGUGGAACUUCUGGUGGAGCGGUGAAAUGCGUAGAUAUCAGAAGGAACGCCGGCGGCGAAAGCGGCUCUCUGGCCCAUAACUGACGCUGAGUGUGCGAAAGCUAGGGGAGCAAACGGGAUUAGAUACCCCGGUAGUCCUAGCCGUAAACGAUGGGCACUAAGUAGAGGGGUUUU
rnacentral:rRNA from 1 species